rnacentral:rRNA from 1 species
GACGAACGCUGGCGGCGUGCAUCACACAUGCAAGUGGAGCGACGAACCGGGCUUCGGCCCGGGGCAGAGCCGCGAACGGGUGAGUAACACGUGGGUAACCUGCCCUGAUGAUUGGGACAACCCGAGGAAACUCGGGCUAAUACCGAAUGUGCCCUCCGGCCACAAGGCCGCUGGGGAAAGGAAGCUUCGGCCUCCGCAUCAGGAUGGGCCCGCGGCCCAUUAGCUUGUUGGUGAGGUAACGGCUUACCAAGGCUACGAUGGGUAGCUGGUCUGAGAG